ACUCCUACGGGAGGCAGCAGUGGGGAAUUUUGGACAAUGGGGGCAACCCUGAUCCAGCAAUGCCGCGUGAGUGAAGAAGGCCUUCGGGUUGUAAAGCUCUUUUGUCAGGGAAGAAACGGUAGUAGCUAAUAUCUA
rnacentral:rRNA from 1 species